rnacentral:rRNA from 1 species
GAUGAACGCUAGCGGCAGGCUUAAUACAUGCAAGUCGAGGGGCAGCAUGAUUGUAGCAAUACAAUUGAUGGCGACCGGCAAACGGGUGCGGAACACGUACACAACCUUCCAAUAAGUGGGGAAUAGCCCAGAGAAAUUUGGAUUAAUACCACGUAACAUAACGAUGUGGCAUCACAUUGUUAUUAUAGAUUUUUCGCUUAUUGAUGGGUGUGCGGCUGAUUAGAUAGUUGGCGGGGUAACGGCCCACCAAGUAGACGAUCAGUAGCUGAUGUGGUAGCAUGACAAGCGAUACGGGGACUGAGACACGGUCCCAACUCCUCCGGGAGGAAGCGGUAGGGAAUAUUGAUAAAUGGACGCAAGUCUGAACCAGCCAUGCCGCGUGAAGGAUUAAGGUCCUCUGGAUUGUAAACUUCUUUUAUCUGGGACGAAAAAAGGCUAUUCUUAGUCACUUGACGGUACCAGAUGAAUAAGCACCGGCUAACUCCGUGCCAGCCGCCGCCGUAAAAC